rnacentral:lncRNA from 1 species
AUUCUCCCUGCAUUUAAAGGACUCUGGCUGGGGCCCUUACUUGCAGAGUAGUCAAGGAAGCCCCAGUUGCAAAUAAGAGACAGUUCUUCACUGGGAUUGAAUCAGAAUAAUUUGACAUCAGCUGGGUCAGGGUAAGGUGCUUUGAUCGGAGGAGAUGAAAGACUGGUGAAAACUCUGCUGGGCCAGAGAGUCCCCUGCCGAAGCUGAAACUUCGUGUUUCAACUGGACUUCAUCUGAGCUUAAUUAAAUAAGGGAAGAUCAAAGCCUACAAAUCUCCCUGAUCUAUAUCAACACGGCAAAUUAAAGGAAAAAACAUUCCCGUUCUUCAAGAUGAAUCACUGGUGGUGUGUUUUUGUGGGCAAAGUGAUUGCCUGAGCUACUCUGCAACAGCUACAGCACCACAGGGCCAGCCUAGGUGGGGCUGUCAGCACGAACAAACCUCCUGCCCGUGCACAGAUCUGCGAAAGCUGAGCAGUGGAGAAGGGGAUAUGUGCUGCACAACAACUGAACUACACCACAAUUUUAGAAGAGACUCUACAGCGUGCAUUGAGCCAGACACAGUGAUUAUAAACAAGCCAAGCUGUAGUUGAGAUGAAGAAUGAACAAGAUGGCUGAGUUAAAUAUAGCGCUGGGGCUGAAGCAUAACAGACUGUCCAGGGCUCCAGUCGUAAAAGAAGAAAGAAAUUACUUCAGAGAGGAUUAAGCUCUCUCUUGCUAUAGAAGUUGUACAUGAUGUCAAAGAGUGGAGAGUGCUGAACAGCAUGCUAGGAAAAGGAAAAUCCUAGGAUGCUGACCCAGAAAAUUAACACGCUGCUCAGUGGUUAGCUCAAAAUGGAAGAGGAGUUUCAUGACUUUUUCCCAAACUAGUGAC